rnacentral:rRNA from 1 species
UACAGAGGGUGCGAGCGUUGUCCGGAAUCACUGGGCGUAAAGGGCGCGUAGGCGGCGCGGUAAGCGUGCGGUGAAAGCCCGGGGCUCAACCCCGGAACUGCAUUGGAUACUGCCUUGCUCGAGUACUGGAGAGGGAACUGGAAUUUACGGUGUAGCAGUGAAAUGCGUAGAGAUCGUAAGGAAGGCCAGUGGCGAAGGCGAGUUCCUGGACAGUUACUGACGCUGAGGCACGAAGGCCAGGGGAGCAAACGGG